CGGCGGACGGGUGAGUAACACGUGGGUAACCUACCUAUAAGACUGGGACAACUUCGGGAAACCGGAGCUAAUACCGGAUAAGAUAUCGAACCGCAUGGUUCGAUAGUGAAAGAUGGUUUUGCUAUCACUUAUAGAUGGACCCGCGCCGUAUUAGCUAGUUGGUGAGGUAACGGCUCACCAAGGCAACGAUGCGUAGCCGACCUGAGAGGGUGAUCGGCCACACUGGAACUGAGACACGGUCCAGACUCCUACGGGAGGCAGCAGGG
rnacentral:rRNA from 1 species